CAAAAACAUAGCCCCGUGAAUACCCUUACGAGGUGCUACCUGCUCAAUGAUUACUAAUAACAAACAUAAAUAACAAUAAUUAAAUAGCCGCGGUAACUCUGACCGUGAUAAAGUAGCAUAAUCACUUGUCAUUUAAUUGGUGACUGGAAUGAAUGGUUUAACGAAUCUCUAGCUGUCUCGGUUGAAAAUAUUAACAAAUUUAAAAUAACAGUGAAGAUGCUGUUGUUAAAUUGUAAGACGAAAAGACCCUAUUGAGCUUUACUGGACAAUCUGCAGAAAAUAAUAAUUCGUGAAACAUCACACACAUCACAUAUCUUGCAGAUAAGACAGUUUGGUUGGGGCGACCACCUCUAAAAUAGUAACAGAGGUAAUCUAAAGGUAUUAACUUAAUGGUAAUAACUUAACUGCAAUAACUAUAAUUUAACCAGAUAUACAACGUAGGACAUAAUGACCCGUUAAGAUUAACGACCAAUCUUAACGAUAAUAAAAUAAGUUACCAUAGGGAUAACAGGGUAAUAAUUUCAGAGA
rnacentral:rRNA from 1 species